rnacentral:lncRNA from 1 species
UAUAGAAGUGUUUUUUGACAUUUUAUUUUUCCAGACAUAAUGGCAUGCCUGUAGUGCUAACAUUCAAAAGGCAGAGGCAGGAGAACUUCUGAGAGUCCAAGGCUACGUGAUAACAUACUGUCUCAAAACAAACAUACCAACUUUCAAGUGUGUCUUCAGAAGCUCAGUCUGGUCUGUGUGAUGCAGUUUUCUCAUCGAGUUGGCUCUGUUUGGGAAGCGGCAGCCACUACCUCCUGCAGAAGCUCUACCGCUUUCACACAAAUGAGCGAGUCCCCGCUUGCUAGCUCAAAGGAUCAUGCUCAUGAGCAGCUAUGGACAAGGUUGAGAAACUACCUGGAAGCCAGAAAAUGCCAUCUGUAUGCCACUUCAGAAUAUCAGUUGCCAGAGACUAGACCCCAGUAGCAGUGAUACAGUGUUUUCUCUGUUUGGAUGGACACAAGGGCUUUCAUCACAAUGGAAUGCUUAUGGAAUUGCAUGUUUCAAAGGACACUCACAUGAAAAUACAAAUUCAUUCAAAGUCAGGUUACAAUGAUGAAUAGCAAGGCUGCAACGAG